rnacentral:rRNA from 1 species
AACGAACGCUGGCGGCAUGCCUAACACAUGCAAGUCGAACGCCCUGCAAGGGGAGUGGCGAACGGGUGAGUAACGCGUGGGAACCUACCUAGCGAUGGGGGAUAACCGAGGGAAACUUCGGCUAAUACCGCAUACGCCCCUACGGGGGAAGAUUAUCGUCGUUGGAGGGCCCGCGUCGAUUAGCUAGUUGGUGAGGUAAUGGCUCACCAAGGCAUCGAUCGGUAGCUGGUCUGAGAGGANGAUCAGCCACACUGGGACUGCGACACGGCCCAGACUCCUACGGGAGGCAGCAGUGGGGAAGUAUUGGACAAUGGGGGCGAACCCUGAUCCAGCAAUGCCGCGUGAGUGAUGAAGGCCUUAGGGUUGUAAAGCUCUUUUACC